rnacentral:tRNA from 1 species
UGCUCUCCAGCCUGGCCCGGCCGCGGGCCCAGAGCUCGCGGGGCACGAAGGUGGUGAUCGGGUCGGCGCCGACCGCCUCGGCGGCGGGCAG